UGGGGAAUAUUGCGCAAUGGGGGCAACCCUGACGCAGCAACGCCGCGUGCAGGAAGAAGGUCUUCGGAUUGUAAACUGUUGUCGCAGGGGAAGAAGACAGUGACGGUACCCUGUGAGAAAGUCACGGCUAACUACGUGCC
rnacentral:rRNA from 1 species